rnacentral:rRNA from 1 species
GUCUAUGGCCAUACCACCCUGAAUGUGCCCGAUCUCGUCUGAUCUCGGAAGCUAAGCAGAGUCAGGCCUGGUUAGUACUUGGAUGGGAGAUUUAGGGUAAACAUCUUUUCAAGAUAGCAA